rfam:Nicotiana sylvestris Nsyl_contig78418, whole genome shotgun sequence.
AUCUUUGCACUUGGGGCAAUGACACAGCUAGUGAGGUUCUAAUUGAGGCGUGUCUAUUGCUGGUUGAAAACUAUUUCCAAACCCCUUCUUCAUCAUGGGUUCGCCCUUGGCCGUUGAGAAUUUUUGGAAGGGCUCCCUUCGGGGUUUAAGCC